GUGAAUAAACUGCACUCGACUCUGUCGGUGCAACACUUAUCCAAACACCUUUCUACGGCCUGGUUCGCCAGGACGGACGGUUGGAUUGGGUUCUACUCAAUCUGACCAUUAUUUAUAAACUCGUAUGAAUAAUGAAUGAAAAACUACUGUCUUCGGACAAAAUAAAAUA
rnacentral:misc_RNA from 1 species